rnacentral:rRNA from 1 species
UAGGGAAUCUUCCGCAAUGGACGCAAGUCUGACGGAGCAACGCCGCGUGAGUGAAGAAGGUUUUCGGAUCGUAAAACUCUGUUGUUAGAGAAGAACAAGUGCUAGAGUAACUGUUAGCGCCUUGACGGUAUCUAACCAGAAAGCCACGGCUAACUACGUGCCAGCAGCCGCGGUAAUACGUAGGUGGCAAGCGUUGUCCGGAUUUAUUGGGCGUAAAGCGAGCGCAGGCGGUUCCUUAAGUCUGAUGUGAAAGCCCCCGGCUCAACCGGGGAGGGUCAUUGGAAACUGGGGAACUUGAGUGCAGAAGAGGAGAGUGGAAUUCCAUGUGUAGCGGUGAAAUGCGUAGAUAUAUGGAGGAACACCAGUGGCGAAGGCGACUCUCUGGUCUGUAACCGACGCUGAGGCUCGAAAGCGUGGGUAGCAAACAGGAUUAGAUACCCUGGUAGUCCACGCCGUAAACGAUGAGUGCUAAGUGUUGGAGGGUUUCCGCCCUUCAGUGCUGUAGUUAACGCAUUAAGCACUCCGCCUGGGGAGUACGACCGCAAGGUUG